GAUGAACGCUGGCGGCGUGCCUAAUACAUGCAAGUCGAGCGAACAGAUGAGGAGCUUGCUCCUCUGACGUUAGCGGCGGACGGGUGAGUAACACGUGGAUAACCUACCUAUAAGACUGGGAUAACUUCGGGAAACCGGAGCUAAUACCGGAUAAUAUAUUGAACCGCAUGGUUCAAUAGUGAAAGACGGUUUUGCUGUCACUUAUAGAUGGAUCCGCGCCGCAUUAGCUAGUUGGUAAGGUAACGGCUUACCAAGGCAACGAUGCGUAGCCGACCUGAGAGGAUGAUCGGCCACACUGGAACUGAGACACGGUCCAGACUCCUACGGGAGGCAGCAGUAGGGAAUCUUCCACAAUGGGCGAAAGCCUGACGGAGCAACGCCGCGUGGGUGAUGAAGGUCUUCGGAUCGUAAAACUCUGUUAUUAGGGAAGAACAAAUGUGUAAGUAACUAUGCACGUCUUGACGGUACCUAAACAGAAAGCCACGGCUAACUACGUG
rnacentral:rRNA from 1 species